rnacentral:tRNA from 1 species
UCUAAUAUGGCAGAUUAGUGCAUUGGAUUUAAGCUCCAUAUAUAAAGUCUUAACCUUUUAUUAGAA